UACAGAGGGUGCAAGCGUUAAUCGGAGUUACUGGGCGUAAAGGGCGCGUAGGCGGUUGAUUAAGUGAGAUGUGAAAGCCCCGGGCUUAACCUGGGAACGGCAUCUUAAACUGGUUGACUGGAGUACUGUAGAGGGUAGUGGAAUUUCCGGUGUAGCGGUGAAAUGCGUAGAGAUCGGAAGGAACACCAGUGGCGAAGGCGGCUACCUGGACAGAUACUGACGCUGAGGCGCGAGAGCGUGGGGAGCAAACAGG
rnacentral:rRNA from 1 species